rnacentral:rRNA from 1 species
GACGAACGCUGGCGGCGUGCUUAACACAUGCAAGUCGAACGGAAAGGCCCUGCUUUUGUGGGGUGCUCGAGUGGCGAACGGGUGAGUAACACGUGAGUAACCUGCCCUUGACUUUGGGAUAACUUCAGGAAACUGGGGCUAAUACCGGAUAGGAGCUCCUGCUGCAUGGUGGGGGUUGGAAAGUUUCGGCGGUUGGGGAUGGACUCGCGGCUUAUCAGCUUGUUGGUGGGGUAGUGGCUUACCAAGGCUUUGACGGGUAGCCGGCCUGAGAGGGUGACCGGCCACAUUGGGACGGAGAUACGGCCCAGACUCCUACGGGAGGCAGCAGUGGGGAAUAUUGAACAAUGGGCGGAAGCCUGAUGCAGAAACGCCGCGUGCGGGAUGACGGCCUUCGGGUGGUAAACCGCUUUCGCCUGUGACGAAGCGUGAGUGACGGUAAUGGGGAAAGAAGCACCGGCUAACUACGU